UACAGAGGGUGCAAGCGUUGUUCGGAAUUAUUGGGCGUAAAGCGCGUGUAGGCGGCUUUGCAAGUCGGGUGUGAAAGCCCUCAGCUCAACUGAGGAAGUGCGCCCGAAACUGCAUGGCUUGAGUACCGUAGAGGAUGGUGGAAUUCCCCAAGUAGAGGUGAAAUUCGUAGAUAUGGGGAGGAACACCGGUGGCGAAGGCGACCAUCUGGACGGAUACUGACGCUGAGACGCGAAAGCGUGGGUAGCAAACAGG
rnacentral:rRNA from 1 species